rnacentral:rRNA from 1 species
GAUGAACGCUAGCGGCAGGCUUAACACAUGCAAGUCGAGGGGUAUAGUUCUUCGGAACUAGAGACCGGCGCACGGGUGCGUAACGCGUAUGCAAUCUACCUUUUGCAGAGGGAUAGCCCAGAGAAAUUUGGAUUAAUACCUCAUAGUAUGUGAGAAUGGCAUCAUUUUCACAUUAAAGUCACAACGGCAAAAGAUGAGCAUGCGUCCCAUUAGCUUGUUGGUAAGGUAACGGCUUACCAAGGCAACGAUGGGUAGGGGUCCUGAGAGGGAGAUCCCCCACACUGGUACUGAGACACGGACCAGACUCCUACGGGAGGCAGCAGUGAGGAAUAUUGGACAAUGGGCGCAAGCCUGAUCCAGCCAUGCCGCGUGCAGGAUGACGGUCCUAUGGGUUGUAAACUGCUUUUAUACAAGAGAAAACCCUGGUACGUGUACCAGGUUGAUAGUAUUGUAAGAAUAAGCAUCGGCUAACUUCGUGCCAGCAGCCGCGGUAAUC